GACGAACGCUGGCGGCGUGCCUAAUACAUGCAAGUCGAGCGGAUCUCUUCGGAGGUUAGCGGCGGACGGGUGAGUAACACGUGGGUAACCUGCCGUCAAGACUGGGAUAACGCCUGGAAACGGGUGCUAAUCCCAGAUAGGUUCUUGGGUCACAUGGCCGAAGAAGGAAAGGCGCUAUGGCGUCACUUGACGAUGGGCCCGCGGCGCAUUAGCUAGUUGGUGGGGUAAAGGCUUACCAAGGCGACGAUGCGUAGCCGACCUGAGAGGGUGACCGGCC
rnacentral:rRNA from 1 species